rnacentral:lncRNA from 1 species
AAAAAGAGAAUUGGAGGAAGAAAUGGUCCAAUUCCCAAAGAUUACAAAUACCAAUAACCACUAGUCCUAAACAUAGACAAGAAACUAUACUUAACCCCACCCGGGCUUCGUAUAUUCUUGUUCUGACCAUUUUUCCCCUUCAGCCAAAUGUUGCCGACGACUUUCUGACCUUCUCAAAAACCUCUGUAUUUCUCUCACAUUUCUGGUCCCUAUCUCUUGGUACGUAUAUUUAACUUUAUUUAAUUUACAACUUUCAUUAUCUUUCUAUACGAAAACAAAAAAUAGCAAAUUGAUUUAUGAUAUAACAAUUUUCUGAUUUCUAGGGUUUUGCAUUUGGUGAUUCAGACAUCUAUUGGAGAAGACGAUGGCAGCUCCACCAGCUAGGGCACGAGCAGAUUAUGAUUAUCUUAUCAAGCUCCUCCUCAUUGGCGAUAGCGGUUAGUUUUACUUUUUCUUUUU